rnacentral:lncRNA from 1 species
UGAAGAGACAAACUGUGAUAUAAAGGAAUCAGCACUAUAUGGCAAUGAAAGCUAUACACUCUACAUAAGUAUCACAAAUACACUAUCCAAACAAAAGAGAGAGUCAAAAGAACAUAUACUCGUCUAGUCCAGACAUCCAAAGUUCAGAAAAAAUGAAAAGAGGACAAAAUGAGAUUUAGAGAAUAUACACUUAGGUAUGUCUGGGUUGUGAAACAAUUUGGGGCGGGGGAGGGGGGGAGGAAGUGAUUAACACAGAAGUCAGGAUAACAUUACCUGAGGAAGGCUGCUAGUAAUCUAACUCUCGAUCUCGGUUGUGGUUACACUGGGGUUUGCUUUGUAAAUCACUCAGAUGUGUACUUUUGUGUACUUUUCUUUUUUAAACUUUAUUAUAAUCAACGUUUUUUAAACAGAUUUAAUUUUGAAUUUUAAAACUCAAAUUUCUUAACUUUCAUUCAAAACCUGGUCUCAGCAUCGCCAAGGACCCUGGUCUUUUCCGCUGCCCUGCCAGCGUAAUGUUGUCUUAAUUAUCCUCACAGCUGUGAGAGCACCACAACUUCAGACAUCACAUGGAUACACAGUAACAUGUGUGAAGGACUAUAUCUUUUAUUAAUUCUCUUCUGUUUAAUUUCUUUACAGUUUUUGUUUUUAAGGUUAAAAUUUACAUAUAAUGAAAGGCAUAAAUUUUAAGUAUACAAUUCCAUGAGCUCACAAAGGAAGAACCCAAGAGUAUUACACUGUUAUAUUUAAACAAAAGCACAUUUUGUUCUUUUACCGAUGCGCAUUUGGAUUGUUUCCAGUUAUUAUGAAUAAAGUUGCUUGUAACAAGACGUUCUGUGGACAUAUUUUCAGUUGGGGAGAGGUGUAAAUAUAUAAGUGGAACUGCAAGAUUAUGAAGUAUAUGUUUAUAGCAAACUGACAAAUCUUUUUCAAAGUAGUCGUACUGUUUUCCAUUUCAACCAACGUAAGAGUUCUUUCCUCCACAUUUUGGCCAACAUUUGGUGUUGUCAGUUGUUAAAAGAAAAACUGAGGCACAUUAAAAUUUUCAAGUUUAUAGGAGCAUAAAGGAUCAAACCCGGAUCUCCUACAUUACAGGCAGAUUCCUUACCAUCUGGAGCCACCGGGGGAACCCUCCAUAGCAAUUCAAUUCAAUUCAGUCACUCAGUCCUGUCUGACUCUUUGCGACCCCAUAGACUGUAGCACGCCAGGCCUCCCUGUCCAUCAC